rnacentral:rRNA from 1 species
AGGACGAACGCUGGCGGCGUGCUUAACACAUGCAAGUCGAACGGUGACCCUCGGAGCUUGCUUCGGGGUGAUCAGUGGCGAACGGGUGAGUAACACGUGAGUAACCUGCCCCAGACUCUGGGAUAACCCCGGGAAACCGGAGCUAAUACCGGAUACGACACGGAGAGGCAUCUCUACCGUGUGGAAAGUUUUUCGGUCUGGGAUGGACUCGCGGCCUAUCAGCUUGUUGGUGAGGUAAUGGCUCACCAAGGCGACGACGGGUAGCCGGCCUGAGAGGGCGACCGGCCACACUGGGACUGAGACACGGGCCCAGACUCCUACGGGAGGCAGCAGUGGGGAAUAUUGCACAAUGGGCGAAAGCCUGAUGCAGCGACGCCGCGUGAGGGAUGAAGGCCUUCGGGUUGUAAACCUCUUUCAGCAGGGAAGAAGCGAAAGUGACGGUACCUGCAGAAGAAGCACCGGCUAACUACGCGCCAGCAGCCGCGGU